UUGAGGUUAUGAUUAUAUAUUUGUUACUUGUUUAUAGGAUAGAAAAUGUUUUUUUUUUAUAUAUUCUCUCAGGAAACUAUGACUUGAUAAAACACUUUUGCUUUUAUCCGUUUAACGAGGAAACACAUCUAUUAAAGUGGAUGAAAAUUUAGUAGUCACUGUUGGUGUUUCGUGCAUACGAAUUGGAAUUAAAUGAUCUGCCAAAUAAUAACAUGCAAGGACUUGAUACGGAUAAGCUCUUAAUAUAUCCUAGAUAGUAAAAUGUGUUUGUUCUGAAUACAUAUUGUACUCACGUUUAUUAAAAACAUGAUGGCAAGAAUAGACACGGAUGCGGGCUCAUAUGUUGUUCAGAAUGCAGACAUGUUAUGAAAUCUAUAAAAGUUUACAAAAUAGUGACAUAAUGAACACAUAAAUGAUGUUCAAUGAAAUACUGCAUAUUGUGUGCAUAUAUGUAUAAAGCUCAAAAAAUGACAACAAUUUA